rnacentral:rRNA from 1 species
GACGAACGCUGGCGGCGUGCUUAACACAUGCAAGUCGAACGGAAAGUCCCGUUUUGGGGUCGUCGGGUGGCGAACGGGGUGGUAACACGUGCGUAACCUGCCCUUGACUUCGGGAUAACUUCACUAAACUGGGGCUAAUUCCUGGGAGGAAUCCUUUCUGCCUGGUGGGUGUGGGAAAGCUUCGGCGGUUUUGGAUGGACUCGGGGCUUGUCAGCUUGUUGGUUGGGUAGUGGCUUAACAAGGCUUUGACGGGUAGCCGGCCUGAGAGGGCGACCGGCCACAAUGGGAAUGGGAUACGGGCCACACUCCAAAGGGAGGCAGCAGUGGGGAAUGUUGAACAAUGGGCGGAGGCCUGAUGCAGCAACGCCGCGUGCGGGAUGACGGACUUAGGGUUGUGAACCGUUUUCAGCAGGGGCGAAGCUUGUGGUGACGGUACCUGCAGAAGAAGCACCGGCUAACUACGUG